GGGGUCGUUUUGGAUUCGACAGGCUGUCCUUGGCCGUGAACUGCAACUAGUGCCGGCGCCACUUAAAUCCGUCGCAGAAAUAUAACUGCUAAAAAUAAUACACAAACUUACGCACUCGCUGCCUAAACACCAGCUUGCGUGACUUCCGCGACGUCGCCCAUGCGCCGCGAUAAGUCCAUUUUAGUGGGAUAAGCUAGACACGUUGUCUGACGUGCCCAGUCGAAAACUUUAGGACUCGCUCCGUGCUUGCUUUGAGGCUUGCGCUGGCGCGGGGUUAAACCUUGCAAGUCCUAUGGUUGUAGAAGUUUACGGUACAAACAGUCUGGACAGGGGUUCAAUUCCCCUCGGCUCCAGUU
rnacentral:tmRNA from 1 species